rnacentral:sRNA from 1 species
UUGAGUAAUUAUCGGCGUAACAUGGGA